UUCGUGCAGCGACGGCCGCUCUUUCUUUCCUUUUCAUUCUUGUUCCAGGAGCAGUACGCCUUGGACCAACUCGGUUGCCUGUGUUGUAUACCUACUUCGAUGGAAUUCGUUCGUCUAAUCGCCCCUAAUUCACCUUGUGCUGCUCACGCGGCGCGGGAUGAACCAUGAAGUGUCCUUUGUUGUCCAUUAUUGCCUCGCGUUUUAGCGUCGCAUGAAAUGGCCAACGCUGCGGCACUCGAACUCUCGGAUACAGAACCUUAAGCGGGCAAAGGGUCCUUUGGCCUUGAUUUGCCCAAACUAAGCGUUCUCGCUUCUUACGAACGACUGUCGUGCCCGUU
rnacentral:misc_RNA from 1 species